rnacentral:rRNA from 1 species
GACGAACGCUGGCGGCGUGCUUAACACAUGCAAGUCGAACGGAAAGGCCCUGCUUUUGUGGGGUGCUCGAGUGGCGAACGGGUGAGUAACACGUGAGUAACCUGCCCUUGACUUUGGGAUAACUUCAGGAAACUGGGGCUAAUACCGGAUAGGAGCUCCUGCUGCAUGGUGGGGGUUGGAAAGUUUCGGCGGUUGGGGAUGGACUCGCGGCUUAUCAGCUUGUUGGUGGGGUAGUGGCUUACCAAGGCUUUGACGGGUAGCCGGCCUGAGAGGGUGACCGGCCACAUGGGAGCGGGAAGACGGCCGGGGCCUCCUCGGGGGGAAGGGGGGGGAAGGUGGGCCAAAGGGGGGGAAGCGGGAAGCGGAAACCCCGGGGGGGGGAGGCGGGCCUUGGGGUUGAAAACCGGUUUGGCCUGGGACGAAGGGUGGGGGGCGGAAAUGGGAAAAGAAGCACCGGCUAACUAGGG